rnacentral:rRNA from 1 species
AUCGAACGCUGGCGGCAGGCCUAACACAUGCAAGUCGAGCGGAUGAAGCGAGCUUGCUUCUGGAUUCAGCGGCGGACGGGUGUGUAAUGCCCAUGAAUCUGCCUGGUAGUGCUGGAUAACGUCCGCAAACGGGCGCUAAUACUGCCUACGACCUGCUGGUGCUUGUUGGUGAUCUUCGGACCUCUCGCUCUGUGAUGAGCCUAGGUGGGAUUGGCUAGUUGGUGGGGUAACGGGCUACCAAGGCGACGAUCGGUAACUGGUCUGAGAGGAUGAUAAGUCACACGGGAACGGAGACAGGGUCCAGACUACUACGGUAGGACGCAGAGGGGAAUAUUGGGCAAUGGGGGAAAGCCUGAUACAGCCAGGGCGCGUGUGUGAAGAAAGUCUUCGGAUUGGGAAGAAGGUUAAGUGGGGGGGAAGGGCAGUAAGUUAAUACGUAGCGGUAUUGACGUUACCAGGAGAAUAAGCACCGGCUAACUACGUG